CCUACGGGUGGCAGCAGGGAGGAAUAUUGGUCAAUGGGCGCGAGCCUGAACCAGCCAAGUCGCGUGAGGGAUGACGGCCCUACGGGUUGUAAACCUCUUUUGCCGGGGAGCAACGGGCGCCACGUGUGGCGUCACUGAGAGUACCCGGAGAAAAAGCAUCGGCUAACUCCGUGCCAGCAGCCGCGGUAAUACGAAGCAUGCGAGCGUGAUCCGGAUUAAGUGGGUUAAAAGGGUGCGUAGGCGGAUCGUUAAGUCAGUGGUCAAAUUGAGGGGCUCAACCCCUUCCCGCCAUUGAAACUGGCGUUCUUGAGUGGAAGAGAAGUAUGCGGAAUGCGUGGUGUAGCGGUGAAAUGCAUAGAUAUCACGCAGAACCCCGAUUGCGAAGGCAGCAUGCCGGCUUCCGACUGACGCUGAAGCACGAAAGCGUGGGGAUCGAACAGGAUUAGAUACCCGGGUAGUC
rnacentral:rRNA from 1 species